UAAUUGGAGAGUUUGAUCCUGGCUCAGAAUGAACGCUGGCGGCGUGCUUAACACAUGCAAGUCGCACGAGAACUCUUCUGCUUGCAGAAGAUAGUAAAGUGGCGCACGGGUGAGUAACGCGUGGGUAAUCUACCUCCGAAUCGGGGAUAACCCGCCGAAAGGCGAGCUAAUACCGGAUAAUAUCUUUGAAACAUCGGUUUUUUAGAUCAAAGGUGGCCU
rnacentral:rRNA from 1 species